rnacentral:snRNA from 1 species
AUCACUUUUUGUGUCUUUUGGCUAAGAUCAAGUAGAUAAUCUAUUCCUAUUAGUUUAAUAUCUAAUAGGUCCUCUAUCUAAAGACUGAACAUUAAAUAGAUUUCUUUGGAACAGGGAGAUAGAAUGGGAACUUGCUCCAUCCACUUCAGAAAUUGAUGUGAUACUGCAAUACUUCUGAGAAUAGUGCAUUUUCC